AUUGAACGCUGGCGGCAGGCCUAACACAUGCAAGUCGAACGAGUGGCGGACGGGUGAGUAAUGUCUGGGAAACUGCCUGAUGGAGGGGGAUAACUACUGGAAACGGUAGCUAAUACCGCAUACCAUCAGAUGUGCCCAGAUGGGAUUUGCUAGUAGGUGAGGGAACGGCUCACCUGGGCGACGAUCCCUAGCUGGUCUGAGAGGAUGACCAGCCACACGGGACCUGCGACACGGUCCAGAGUCCUACGGGAGGCAGCAGUGGGGAAUAUUGCACAAUGGGCGCAAGCCUGAUGCAGCCAUGCGGCGUGUAUGAAGAAGGCCUUCGGGUUGUAAAGUACUUUCAGCGGGGAGGCGUUACCCGCAGAAGAAGCACCGGCUAACUCCGUGCCAGCAGCCGCGGUAAUAC
rnacentral:rRNA from 1 species